GCUGAGGCAGCCCCGGGUCGUGUUGAGGGCCACUCGGGAUCAGUUUUCAAGACAGCCUUGGCCUGGACUUCAACACCCCGGCGCGGCUGCGGACCUAGAGUGUUUAUUACAAUGGAAGAAAUCAAUAAUUUCAAGACAUCAAGCAAAUUAUCUGAAAAAAAGAAAUCUGCAUUAUGUUCAACUCCAUGUAUAAAUAUUCCUGCUUCUCCAUUUAUGCAGAAGCUUGGCUUUGGCACUGGGGUAAACGUCUACCUUAUGAAAAGAUCUCCAAGAGGUUUGUCUUAUUCUCCUUGGGCUGUGAAAAAGAUUAACCCUAGAUGUAAUGAUCAUUAUCAAAGUAUGUAUCAAAAGAGACUAAUAGAUGAAGCUAAGAUUUUGAAAAACCUCCAUAAUCCAAACAUUGUAGGUUAUCGUGCUUUCACUGAAGCCAGUGAUGGUAGUCUGUGUCUUGCUAUGGAAUAUGGAGGGGAAAAGUCUCUAAAUGACUUAAUAGAAGAACGAUAUAAAGACAACCAGGAUCCUUUCCCAGCAGCCAUAAUUUUAAAAGUUGCUUUGAACAUGGCGAGAAGGUUAAAGUAUCUACACCAAGAAAAGAAA